GACGAACGCUGGCGGCGUGCCUAAUACAUGCAAGUAGAACGCUGAAGGAGGAGCUUGCUUCUCUGGAUGAGUUGCGAACGGGUGAGUAACGCGUAGGUAACCUGCCUGGUAGCGGGGGAUAACUAUUGGAAACGAUAGCUAAUACCGCAUAAUAGCAGUUGUUGCAUGACAACUGUUUGAAAGGUGCAAUUGCACCACUACCAGAUGGACCUGCGUUGUAUUAGCUAGUUGGUGGGGUAACGGCUCACCAAGGCGACGAUACAUAGCCGACCUGAGAGGGUGAUCGGCCACACUGGGACUGGGACACGGCCCAGACUCCUACGGGAGGCAGCAGGAGGGAAUCGUCGGCAAUGGACGGAAGUCUGACCGAGCAACGCCGCGUGAGGGAAGAAGGUUGUCGGAUCGUAAAGCUCGGUUGUAAGAGAAGAACGAGUGUGAGAGUGGAAAGUUCACACUGUGACGGUAUCUUACCAGAAAGGGACGGCUAACUACGUG
rnacentral:rRNA from 1 species